UACAGAGGGUGCAAGCGUUGUCCGGAAUUAUUGGGCGUAAAGAGCUCGUAGGCGGUCUGUUGCGUCCGCUGUGAAAACUCGGGGCUUAACCCCGAGCCUGCAGUGGAUACGGGCAGACUAGAGGUAGGUAGGGGAGAAUGGAAUUCCCGGUGUAGCGGUGAAAUGCGCAGAUAUCGGGAGGAACACCGGUGGCGAAGGCGGUUCUCUGGGCCUUACCUGACGCUGAGGAGCGAAAGCGUGGGGAGCGAACAGG
rnacentral:rRNA from 1 species